UCGCAAAGAUAUGGAGGAACACCAGUUGCGAAGGCGGNUUUUUUCGUCCGUUAUUGACGCUGAUGUGCGAANGCGNGGGGAUCAANCAGGAUUAGNUACCGUGGUNNUCCNCGUCNUAAACGAUGANUNCUAAGUGUNAGGGGGUUUCCGCCCCUUAGUGCGGCAGCUAANNCAUUAAGCACUNCGCCUGGGGAGUACGACCGCAAGGUUGAAACUCAAAGGAAUUGACGGGGACCCGCACAAGCGGUGGAGCAUGUGGUUUAAUUNGAAGCAACGCGAAGAACCUUANCAAAUCUUGACAUCCUUUGACCGCUCUAGAGAUAGAGUCUUCCCCUUCGGGGGACAAAGUGACAGGUGGUGCAUGGUUGUCGUCAGCUCGUGUCGUGAGAUGUUGGGUUAAGUCCCGCAACGAGCGCAACCCUUAAGCUUAGUUGCCAUCAUUAAGUUGGGCACUNUAAGUUGACUGCCGGUGACAAACCGGAGGAAGGUGGGGAUGACGUCAAAUCAUCAUGCCCCUUAUGAUUUGGGCUACACACGUGCUACAAUGGACAAUACAAAGGGCAGCUAAACCGCGAGGUCAAGCAAAUCCCAUAAAGUUGUUCUCAGUUCGGAUUGUAGUCUGCAACUCGACUACAUGAAGCUGGAAUCGCUAGUAAUCGUAGAUCAGCAUGCUACGGUGAAUACGUUCCCGGGUCUUGUACACACCGCCCGUCACACCACGAGAGUUUGUAACACCCGAAGCCGGUGGAGUAACCAUUUAUGGAGCUAGCCUCGAAUGUGAC
rnacentral:rRNA from 1 species